rnacentral:rRNA from 1 species
AACGAACGCUGGCGGCGUGGAUUAGGCAUGCAAGUCGAGCGAGAUUUCAAGUGACAAGUCUUCGGAUGAGUCACUUGGAUGACAGCGGCGAAAGGGUGAGUAAUGCGUGGGUAAUCUACCUCUUAGUUGGGGAUACCCCUGCGAAAGCGGGGUUAAUACCGAAUGUGGUCGCUCUCCGCAUGGAGAGCUAUCCAAAGGCGGGCGCAAGCCUGUCGCUAAGAGAUGAGCCCACGUCCUAUCAGCUUGUUGGUGAGGUAACGGCUCACCAAGGCUUACGGGUAGCUGGUCUGAGAGGAUGGUCAGCCACACUGGGACUGAGACACUGCCCAGACACCUACGGGUGGCAG